GGGGGAAAAAUUAAUAAAAAAAAAAUUAAUAAAAAAAUUUUUAAAGAAUUAUAAAAUAUAUUUUAAUGGGGGUUAAAGUAUAAAAUAAGAAAAAAUUUAAAAAUUUAUAGUUUAAUAGUAUUGUAAAAGAAUAAUUGAAAUAUCAUGAAAAUUAAUUAGUUAAAAAGUAAAUUUAGUUUAUUGUAUCUUGUGUAUCAGAGUUUAUUAAUAAAAAUUUUUAGUUGAAUAAUUCUCGAAUUAAAAAGAGAAAAUUAAUUAAAAAAUUUAUUGUUUCAUAAAUAUUUUUAAUAAUUAAUUGGAAAUGAAAUGUUAAUCGUUUUUUAAGAUAUCUAGUUUUUUUAGAAAUAAAUUCAAUUUAGAAUUUUUUUUUAAAAUAAAUUUAAUUUAAAAAUUUAUUUUUAAAUUAAUUUAAUAUUUUAAGGGAUAAUCUUUAAAUUAAAAUUUUAUAAUAAUUAAAAUUUAAUAAUUAAAAUUUUUAGAAUUUAUAUUGUUUAUAAAUUAUAUUUUUUUAUAAAAAAUUUUAUAAAAAAAAAAAUUUUUAAUAAAAAUAUUUAAAUUUAUAUAAAAAAAUAAUUUUUAAUAAAAUAAAAUUAGUUAUAAUGAUAAAAUUAGUAUAAUAUAUUAUAAUAAAUUAAUUAAAUUUAAUUUAAUUUAAAAAUUAAUAAAAAGGAAUUCGGCAAAUAUACAUAUUCACUUGUUUAUCAAAAACAUGUCUUUUUGAUUAUAAUUUAAAGUCUAAUCUGCCCACUGAUAUAAUAUUAAAGGGCUGCAGUAUAUUGACUGUACAAAGGUAGCAUAAUCAAUAGUCUUUUAAUUGAAGACUUGUAUGAAGGAUUUGAUGAGAUAUGAACUGUCUCUUUAUUAAAAUUAGAAUUUAAUUUUUUAGUAAAAAAGCUUAAAUAAAUUUAAAAGACGAGAAGACCCUAUAGAGUUUAAUUAUUUAUUUUAAUUUAAAUUUUAUAUAAAAAUUGAAAAUAAAAAAUUAUUAAAAUAAUUUUGUUGGGGUGAUAAAAAAAUUAAAAAAACUUUUUUUUUUUAUUUACAUAAAUUAAUGAGUUUUUGAUCCAUAUUUUAUGAUUAAAAGAAAAAAUUACCUUAGGGAUAACAGCGUAAUUUUUUUUUUUAGUUCAAAUAAAAAAAAAAGUUGGCGACCCCGAUGUUGGAUUAAAAAAAAAUUUAAAGGUAAAAGUUUAAAAUUUUGAUCUGUUCGAUCAUUAAAAUCUUACAUGAUCUGAGUUCAAACCGGGGGGAGCCAGGUGGGUUUCUAUCUUUAAAAAAAUUAAAAUAUUUUAGUACGAAGGGAUUGAAUAUUUAAAAUAAAUUUUAAUAAAAAUUUUGAAUUU
rnacentral:rRNA from 1 species